rnacentral:lncRNA from 1 species
UAACUUCCAGUGGCCACAGUGUCAUUUAUAUGUCCCUUACUUGCAAUUUGCCAAGAGAUUUGUCUGUUUGCCCUUUACAAACAGUAAGUGCAAUUGAUGGAUGAAAUCUGAAUCACAUGAUGCUUCCAAUAAAAUAAGGAUUCUGUUUCUAAAGAGCUACCAGCAUAGUAUCUCUCCAUUUGUCAAACUGUCUCAAUGGAUGAGAAGAUAAGAACCUUCCACAGUCCAAACUAGAGUUGGAGCCUUCGUAGGUGGAACACCAGUGCAGGAAAAAGUGGGGCAGAGAGUUUAACUCUGAAGGAAAAACUGGUUCUCUCUUGCAUUGGAAUGAUUGGUUUCUGUUUUAAACCAUCCCUCCUCCACCACCUGAAAACAAGAUACCAUAUAAUGAUUUCACACUAGAAAAACACAUGGGAGAAACGAACUGUGGCGGGCGGUGCCGCUGUCCGCGGUGCUGAUCCGCAGGGACGCGGCUGUCCGUCUGUCCGUCUGCUGAAAUCUCCGUCUUACCAGGAGUCUGGGGACUGAACUGUUGUAGGCUCUUUGUGAACACUACUUGAAGCAAUUAGGGGUUGUAAUUAAAAAAAUAAAUAAAAGCAAGGGCACACCAGGCACUUGCUGCUGAGAGGUGCUGGGCUAUAAAGCUGUUGCAUCAUCCAGCAGGAUCCAGUCUCUCUCCACCUCUCCUAAAUCUGCCUCUUAAUUUCAGUCUCCAGGAAGGCCAUAAGCCAGGAUUUGUUCUGUAUUAGCAGGAGAAGGAGAAAAAGGAAAUUAAAAGUGAGAGGAGGUUUGAGCUGCUCUUGUCCUAGUGGCCAAUGUUCUUGGUUACCAGGGUGAAUAUUCUGUGUCUUUUCUCAUGUACAGCAGUGGAUUUUCUUAUAUUAUAAAUCAACCACUGUCUUUUCUGAUGUAAUGUUUGUUGGUUGGGUUUUUUUUCCUCUUGUAGCAUUUCUCUCUCUCCUGCCGUUCUGUUCCUAACAGUGCCUCUCAGUAUCUACAGCUUUACUGACUUCAAAGUUGUGGGUCAUCAACGCCUGCUACAUUUAGCCUGGAGUUGCACAAGAAGGUUCAGUUGCACAGGAACAACAAUUCAGUCUCUUGCUGAUUUCUAUUGUUUCAAUCUAGCUACAUAAGAAUGAGGCCGGACUGGAACAGGUCACAGCCGGAAUCAAUCCCAACCAUCUCUCCAGCAAUCAGAACAACCUGCUGGGAGCUGAGUAACGGCUGAAUUCUUGGUGAGAGAAAUUAUAGGCAUAAAAACAAAAUCAAAUAUACUCGUGUGCUCAUUCAACAUAUCAAGGCAUAUUUAUAGGUACUGCUGUAUGGCAUCUUAAAAAUCGGAGUUUAAAAAGAAACUGGAUCACUGCUGUUGGGGAAAAUAAUAUUUCUGUUCUGCCACUUUCACUAUCUCUGCCCUGAUGAAAAAGGGAGAGAAAGACACUGAAUUACACACCCAUUCAGACCCUGUCAUCACUUCUUUGGGCUGUUUGGAUAGUCCUGGGAAGGAUCUGUGAAGAUAAGGAAAUCUGAAGGUCAUCUGAAGGUCAUUCCUCAGCACUGGAGUAGGAGCAAGAGAGCUGGGCAGGAAUCUGAAGCUCAAAAAAAGCUGGGGAUAUCUUCCUGUAUGAGGAGGUGAUGGCUCAGUAGGUGAACAGAUGACUUUGCAGUCCUAGCUGAGACCCUUCCUUAGACUGCUCCACUGUAUUCUUCUCCUGCACCCAAGUCCUGCUGUCAUUGAGAGGAAAAGCUGAAAUUUUACCACUGAUGAAAAUAUCUACACAGGGGGAAUAUUUCCACCUUAUUUCUUCACUUUUCAAGAAGACAGAAUAUUUGAGAAUGUCUUAGAUUUUAGGAGGGAGAAUAUCCUUCAAAAAAUUUCCAGGAUCACUGAAAAAUGGACCUGCAUUCAUUACAGAGAGGUGAGGCAGAGAGCUACAGCCGCCAAGGCUUGUAUUGUAAUGGUGUGUGAGAAACAGCACUGAGCAGCUAAGAGUAUUUGUCUUGGGAACUGUAGUCAGUGAACCUUGGGUGGGAACCAAGCUAAAUCAGCAAACUUGCAGUUGGUCCAGGAUCAGAAUGAGCUAAAACUCCUGUAUCGCAUGCCUGAGACUCAAUUACUGUGUAAUCUCUGUGGCAUAGACAUCUAGGAACCUCUGUGGAUAGCAGAUGGCUGCUGAAUGGUGAGAGCAGAUGACAGAUCCUGGGCAGUGCUAAACCGGAAGACCUUAAAUCCUGAUUACAAAAGUCAGUUCUUGAGGUUAAAUCAAGCCAGGCACCUGAGCAGGAGGGAUUCAUGGAGCAUUGCACAAAGCCAACACACUACCAGACAUGGGAGGGCUCUUGUAAAAAGCUCCACCUGCCCUCCUCUCCCCAACACACAUUCACAUAUGCUGCCACAUACAGGAAAAAAUAUCAAGGUUAUGUGUUUCCUGAAAUAUGGUUGGCUGAAUAAAUACACUUACUGAGAACUCUUUGUAAAACAAUAGCAGAAUGAGUAACAGUGCAUCGCUGCCAUGGGAAAUAAAAAGGAAAGUAACCCAACUGCAAUUCAGCUAGAAUCAUUCCAAACCCCAAAGGUUGGCCUCUUUUUUUUUUUCUUUAAUGUGUCUGACAUUUUAUGGCAUCAAUAAUGCAAACAAAGAGGAAAUCAUAUUUGCAGAACACUAAUGCACGGAUGUCUAAAGCGAAAUACAAUACUGAUUACUUUUUAAAUGAAGCCACCAGGUUUUGAUGUGCUGUGGUGGUUAAAUUGGUCCAUCAAAUUCCUUCCAAAGCAAAUUCCAGUCCAAAGCAAGAGCUUGACCUUUUCUAUAACCUUGGGUAGCCUUUUCAGCUGUAUUCUGAUUGGAGGUAAUAAAUGUUAGUUUGAAGGAAUCCUCCUGAUGGGUCGAAUUACAGAAAUGUCACAAUUCCUCCUGAAGUUAAGGGGAAACUGAAGAUAUCUCACCUCUUCACAGGCUGUCCAAAACCUUUGGCAAAUAUAAUGGCAAGGCUACUGUGAAGAGCUGUGGGUGAGAGGAGAGAUGGGCUCUGAAAGAUAUUUGUAGAUGUACUAUUGGAAUUUUGCCCUUAGGGCUAGUGGUUGAUCUCUUCAGCACCUGAUAGAUUUUCACUCGCCUAGAACCUCCUGCAGAUGACUGCAGAGCAAUGUCUGAGUGGGAAAAUAAGUGAAUGAAUAAGCAGGUGUGGCAAAACUAUACAAAGAAACCUUCCCUUUCUUUUCUAUAUUUUUUACAUGAUAGUGUGGGUUUUUUGGGGUUUUUUUCACAAAGUUAUUUUCAGAGAUGCAUCUUAAGAACCACAGACAGGAUUGUCUCUGCUAGCACAAAAGUGAAGAAGCUGUUGCGGUCCUGCCUAGGAAAUCCCACUGCUCAAGCUCCUCCUACAGCAAAAGACAGAAGGACUUGGGGUCAGGCCUAUGCUUUCAACUUAUCAGCAGCAGCAUUCAUUUCUGGAGCCAAGGGGCUUCUUUUGCAAUGUCCUCUGGCUUGCACUGAGUUAACUCUGUGCAUUUCUUUAAUUCAUGCAAUUGUGGUUUGGUAGGCAGGGCUCAUUUUGUGCCUGUGUGCUGGUGAGUAGGAUUGGAUGCCACCAUCUCACAUCAGCUGGGAGUUUGUCUGCCAUUUAGAUCACAUCUGAUCAGAGCUUUGUGUUUGGGGAUUGUAUGUCUUGGAAAUAAUCAGUGCAAGCAGCUAAUUGCCUCUAGUUAACUAGUGCCUUUUAAUUAGGACUGUACUGCUGGCUGGAUACAUGAAGGGAGCUGUUUGUCACUGGCAAAAAUUUCAGCCUGUGAUGUAAACCUCUUUGGGGAAUUAGAAAAAAAAAAUACAGGCUGGAGCUAUUGUCACUUUAGCACAGCAGAAAAUCAGUUUCAGCAGAAGUGGCCUGGAUGAGGUUGGAGUCAUGCUUUGCUGGGGUCAGAAAUGAUAGCAGCUGCUCCCCAACCCUUCCUCCUGUGCAGAAGGGUGGGACACUGUGGGCUUCAGCUGGGAUUUACAGGAGAUACCCCACAUGCAUUACAAUGAGCGUUGCUGUAAAAUUCACUGCACAGAGGUUAAUCUAGAUGUCAACACUGCCUGACAGCAGUGAAAUUACUCCGGGGCAGUGCUCCUUCUGAAGUCUUAAUAUAACAGUCAAUUCCAUCCUGCCUGCAGGAAAUGAAAGUUUUCUGCUUUGUGUGCGGAAUCAUCCGGCGCCAAUUUUCUCACUGUUUGAAGUCCAAACUGUUUGUGGUCUUGGGAUUCACCUCACAUUAAGACUUGCACUUCAUUUAAAAACUCUGCUAGUCAAGUCCUGAGAACUGCAAGGACAGGAGCUGCACAGGGAGAAAAAGAAGAGGGCAUGGAGGGAGAAAUCAGAUCUCACCUACCACACUGAAAUCAAACUGCUUCACCAGUCCUCUGAGCUCAGUAGAGGGAGGGAAUGCAGAAACUCAGUUCUCUGAGUAUCAAGCAGCAAAGACUGGAGAGGUUGGAAGCCAGCAGAGAGCAAGAGAAAACAUGCAAGAAGACAUUUGGACCGCCCAGAGCUAUGAUUUUCUUUAGAGGUAUUUCAGCCCUUCCCUGCUGGGACCUUGUCCUAAGCUGCCAGUAGUUCUGCAGUUAAACUCCC